AUUGAACGCUGGCGGAAUGCCUUACACAUGCAAGUCGAACGGCGGCACGGACUUCGGUCUGGUGGCGAGUGGCGAACGGGUGAGUAAUGUAUCGGAACGUGCCCAGUCGUGGGGGAUAACGUAGUGAAAAUUACGCUAAUACCGCAUACGAUCUAUGGAUGAAAGCGGGGGAUCGCAAGACCUCGCGCGAUUGGAGCGGCCGAUAUCAGAUUAGGUAGUUGGUGGGGUAAAGGCCCACCAAGCCAACGAUCUGUAGCUGGUCUGAGAGGACGACCAGCCACACUGGAACUGAGACACGGUCCAGACUCCUACGGGAGGCAGCAGUGGGGAAUUUUGGACAAUGGGCGAAAGCCUGAUCCAGCCAUUCCGCGUGCAGGAUGAAGGCCCUCGGGUUGUAAACUGCUUUUGUACAGAACGAGAAGGUUUCUACUAAUACUAGGAGCUCAUGACGGUACUGUAAGAAUAAGCACCGGCUAACUACGUGCCAGCCGCCGCCGUAA
rnacentral:rRNA from 1 species